AGGCACUGUGUGGAUCUCUUCAUGGACUUUAUCGCCAUCUUCAGGAAGCUGAUGUUACUGCUGGCCAUGAAUGAGAAGGACAAGAAGAGGCGUAAUGACUCCAAGUGAACAGAAGAUUACUGAACCCUCCCGGUCCCCGUCCCCACCCACCACCCCUCCCAAACCCCCCCCCCUCCCCCUCGCUUACCUUGCACUGAUUAAACAGAAUGAUUGAGAAACUGAAUAGGAUUGUAGGCUUUGGUGUUCCCCCAUACCCACUGCCCCCUGAAUCCUCCCACCCCGGGUUAACACAGGAAGACCCUUUCAAACCACAGGAUCAGCGUUAGCACAACACCCAGACCCUCUACCCCUCCUCCAACCUGCCCUCUCCACCCCCCCCUCCCUCUCUGUGCCUCCUACUGUCUUCCCCCUUUACCUCUACCACACUCACCAUCCCUCGCUCUCUGUGUCUCUCUCUCUCUGUCACUGUCCUCUCUCUCGCUCCCCUCAUUCAUCCCACCCUCAGUUCUCCUGCUUUGUCCCCCUUUCCUCUCCCACCGCCUCCAUCCCCCCUCCCCCACCAUUACACCCCACUCUCUUCAUUUCUCCUCUCUCCCCCCCCCCUCACUCCCCACUUACCCAUUCUCCUCUCUCUCCUUGCGCUCUCUCUCUCUCUCUCUCUCUCCAACCUCCAAACAUUUUCUCUCUCUCCAUCUCCCAAUCUCUCUUCCUCCAUUUCCUCUUUCAUUCCCCACUCUCUUGCCCUCUCCAUCCCUUCCUAUCUCUCUCCAGUUCCCCUGUCUCACUCAUUCCCUCUCUCUGUGUGUCUCUCUGUCUGUCUGUCUCUCUCUCCGUGUCUCUCUCUCUCUCUCUCUCUCCCCCUGUCUCUCUCUCUCUCUCUCCCCCUGUCUCUCUCUCUCUCUCUUUCUCCCCCUGUCUCUCUCUCUCUCUCUCCCUCUCUCUCUGCAACUCGCACUUCCCUCUGAUAUCUCCCUCUGAUUAGGUGGGUCCUCCUUUAUUAACCCCCCCCCAUCUCUGAUACCCUCCCCUCCCCUCCCCUCCCCCUCCUUCAUCCCCCCCGCCCCAACUCUCACGCACAUACCACCACCCACCCGCACACCUCGCCCCGCUCCUUCGCAGAAUUGACUCCCCCCACCCCACUCCCGCACCCGGCCCUGACCCUGACCCUGCGGGGGUGGGGAGGGUGGCGUGUUUUGGGGGGAGAGACAGUGAGUCAGCUUCCCCCCCCCAACCUCAAGCCCCGAUACCCGGGAGAAAGCGCACGCGCUCUGCAUUGUCAUUGUCACCAGAGAGGGGUGUGAACACUGCGCGGGGAGGGGUGCGGUUGAGCGAUGGAAGAGUGUGGGAUUGUGCCCAGGGGACUCGGAGUCCAGAAGGUGGGAGUGGGUGGGGGCCAGUUGGACGUUAGACGCUGUUGAUCCCCCGUCCCAUCCUCUUUUCCCUCCCACCCCCAAACUCAUUAUGGAAUUCCAACCCCUUCCCCAGACACGGGCACACACCGACAGUGCAGUGGGCGGAGAUUCUCCAGAGCGAGCUGUUUAUCACCCCCCUCACCCCCACCACCUGUUGGGAGGGCACUCACAGGUCUCCAACCAGAGUGCCACCACCACCACCACAACAGCCCCUAAACGUCCGACCCCAGGCCAUCACAGCCAUCAGUUCUCACAGUGGGACACCACCUCCUACCUCAUCUCAGGUUCACUGAGGCAGGAAGGUGGGCACUGUCUGAGGGAGGUGGACAUUGUGGGAGGGUCAGUGCUGAGGGAGUGGGUGCUGUGGGAGGGUCAGUGCUGAGGGAGUAGGUGCUGAGGGAGUGGACGCUGUGGGAGGGUCAGUGCUGAGGGAGUGGACGCUGUGGGUCAGUGCUGAGGGAGUGGGUGCUGUGGGAGGGUCAGUGCUGAGGGAGUGGAUGCUGAGGGAGGGUCAGUGCUGUGGGAGGGUCAGUGCUGAGGGAGUGGGUGUUGUUGGGGUCUGUGUCUUUCAAGCCAGACAUUGAGUAAAUCUGCGUACUCAGUCCAUUGGGUGAUGCCAGCACCAUCCCCGGGUGGUAGAGCAGGGGAGGGUGUGGUGGGGGGGUUAGUGAUCUGACCCUGAGGACCCCCACCCCCUCCCUCCAGUACACAGGAACAGCUCUCUCUGUCACGUCACCCUCUGAGACUGCAUUGCACUGUCUGCCUGGAGAAAGAGUCCAUUCCCAUCAGACCAUGAGACACAGGAGUGGAAGUGAGGCUUCAGCCCAUCAAGUCCACUCCGCCAUUCAAUCAUGGCUGAUGGGCAUUUCAACUCCCACUUACCCGCACUCUCCCCGUAGCCCUUAGUUCCGCGAGACAACAAGAACCCAGCCGCACGAUGUGUUGGAGCGUUCAGAAAUAGCAGUGCUUCAAAGCACAGCAUCCCCCUCCCGACCCCACCGUGAGCCACACUGUAUCCCUGUCCCCCAGAUACAGCCGUCUGUACAAAUCCCACCUCCCACUGCCUCUCUCCCCCCCCCCCCCCCCCCAGCACAAUCCCCUCAGAGGUGCCAUAGCGGAGAUUGCUGUGUGUGUGUGUGUGUGUGUGUUCGAACAGCCCCUUCUUUCGGGAGUGAUUUUUGUAAUGAAUCAUAGCUUCCCCCUGACCCAGCAGCUGAAUCUUCACCGCGAUCAUUAACUGUGAAGAAACACCUUCUUUAAAAACAAAUGAUUAAAAGCGCUAGAGUCGUCUCUUGACAAAAAAAAGUGAGUCUUAACUUUGUAUUGAUUUCUGCUUUUUGUUUUUGAAUGAAAUAAAAAUCCUCGAAAAUCA